rnacentral:ncRNA from 1 species
GUCAAAGGUGCGCUGCUUUAGCGAGCGAUAAUAGGGAACCGGGUGAAAUUCCCGGACAGACCUUGCUGCCGUGAGGCGGAGCGCGCGGACAUAACCACUGAGCAAUGCUUGGGAAGGGUUCGUGGCGCAGUGAUGCCGAGUCGGAAGACCUGCCUUUGACGCUG